UUUUAUUCAAAUGUAAACAGUGAUUGUAAAAACUGUGCUGUAGGCCUGAUGUUGGAACCAUUUUGCAUUGCAUGCACCCCAAAAUCAAGAUCUCAAACUAGAGCAAAUGCACUAAAAGGCAUUGCUUCCAGUGGAAAAGGCUAGUUUCCAAAGCAGCCAUGAAACCUUCUGGUGAGGAAGAGAAUCAGCGCCUGGGCACACUUUUGCUCAACACCCUGGCAAGAGAAAGACGUCUUUGGAGAGCACCAGUCCUUAUGAACGGUUGCAUUCAGGUGGAAGCAUAUUUGUCAUUUGCAGGCUUCUGAACUACUUUAACCAGCAAGACCAGGAAAGUCACGCUGUGUGGUCCAAGCUGGUCUUCUCAGGAGGGAACACAGGUGACAGAAUCAAAUGUGAGCUCAACAUUUGCCAUGUUUUGUGUGCUUUCGGGGUUGCGUAAAAUGAGCAGCAUGUUCCAGUUUUCUUCAGAGACGUUUGCUUUGGGAGUCUGUGUUGUUAACAGCCUGCUUGCGGCAGUCAAAACUCAACUGAAAUAUCUCAAAUGCAUGGCCAUCACCUCUCUGAUCCUUGCUGCAAAGAUCAACAAGGAAGAUGAGGUGAGAUGUGUUUUUGCACAAUGACAACAGAGACAACUUUUAACCAUUCCAGC